UUGGCUUCACUGAUAAAAUGUAUUCAUAUUGAUAUAUGUUGUUGUUGAAUAAAAUACAUAGUGUUAUUUCUACAAUCUCUUUCAUUUAUUUUCUUUUUUUUUUUAAAUUCCAUUAAAUAAUGUCAUGUAUCUGUUUUUCAAACAUUGACAACAAAUUUAAAUUAGCAAGUAACUUAUUUUUUUACGACUGAAAUUGCUAUUAAUGAAAUUAUAAGACACACUCACCAGGUAUGUAAUUGUACCCUAAGUUUUAAUGUGGUAUCAUUUUAAAAAAUAUACUACUUUGUCCCUUAGUAUUAAAAUUCAUACAUGUGGUUUCAUAUUUAACUGAGACAACUCGUUAAUAUUGUUAAAUUGAAUAGCAAUUUCAUGAUUAUGUUCAUAAAAUCCUGUUGUUCGAAAAAAUUGAUUUUGUUUUAUCUACUUUAAAGAAAUGGACUUUUUUGCUAAGCCGUGAAAUACGCAAAGAAAUGAAAAUUAAAAAAAAAUAAACUCUAGGAGUACAUCAAUACUUUUAUUAUUCAUUUUUCAUUUUAAUACAUCUCAUCUGAGUGUGAUGCAGCACCGUCAGUACCAGAUUGACGUAAAGAACAUAGAAACUGAAACAUAACAUGGACAUAGAUCAUAGAAGUAAACUAAACACUGGUCAAUCUGAGUCGUAAAAAAACUGCAAAAAGUAGUGUCAAAUCCAACAAGUUUUACUUUGUCAACGAGAGACAGUUCAACUAGUUAAAAUUGACUGAAUUAAUAUGCAGAAAAAAAAGUUACCGAAAGUGUUCAAACUGAAAAAAAGAAAAAAACGUUUAAUUGAACAGAAGUGAACUUAGAAUUUUACAAUCAAUAACGUAUGGAUAGUAAACCCAUAACCUUUCAGUAGAUUGAGAUUUCAAUAUCAUGAAUAUUGCGUCCAGAUUCAUAAUAUGUAUUAAACAUGACAUUUCCUGACUUAUUGACGAGAUUGGAACAUCGGUUAACUAAUGUAGUCUUAAUUCAUCAUCAAAUGGUUAGAAUAUCUACGGACAGUGUGUUUCCUUGAUGAUUUACAAGCCCGGUCACUUAUGCACUUCAAAUAUUAGAAGAAGAACCGAUAAACGUCAUGGAUGAAAUUGAAUAAAUGAGGUGUAGUCAAGGUCACAACAAUUCCGAGAGAGAAAGAAAGAAUGCCCUA